GGAGUUAGCCGGUGCUUCUUCUGUGAGUGAUGUCCUUCCUGCCGGUUAUUGACCCGCAGGCCUUCUUCCUCACUGAAAGUGCUUUACAACCCGAAGGCCUUCUUCACACACGCGGCAUGGCUGGAUCAGGGUUGCCCCCAUUGUCCAAUAUUCCCCACUGCUGCCUCCCGUAGGAGUCUGGGCCGUGUCUCAGUCCCAGUGUGGCUGAUCAUCCUCUCAGACCAGCUACGGAUCGUCGCCUUGGUGAGCCGUUACCUCACCAACCAGCUAAUCCGACAUAGGCUCAUCCGAUAGCGCGAGGCCCGAAGGUCCCCCGCUUUCCCCCGUAGGGCGUAUGCGGUAUUAGCCUGGGUUUCCCCAGGUUAUCCCCCACUACCGGGCAGAUUCCUAUGCAUUACUCACCCGUCCGCCGCUCGCCACCAGGGAGCAAGCUCCCCGUGCUGCCGCUCGACUUGCAUGUGUUAGGCCUGCCGCCAGCGUUCAAUCUGAGCCAUGAUCCAAACUCUGA
rnacentral:rRNA from 1 species